rnacentral:rRNA from 1 species
UACGAAGGGGGCUAGCGUUUCUCGGAAUCACUGGGCGUAAAGCGCACGCAGGCGGAUCGAUAAGUCGGGGGUGAAAGCCCGGGGCUCAACCUCGGAAUUGCCUUCGAUACUGUCGGUCUCGAGUCCGGGAGAGGUGAGUGGAAUUCCUAGUGUAGAGGUGAAAUUCGUAGAUAUUAGGAAGAACACCAGUGGCGAAGGCGGCUCACUGGCCCAGUACUGACGCUCAGGUGCGAAAGCGUGGGGAGCAAACAGG